GACGUAGGGCGCGAGCGUUGUCCGGAUUUAUUGGGCGUAAAGAGCUCGUAGGCGGCUUGUCGCGUCGACCGUGAAAACUCGCAGCUCAACUGCGAGCCUGCGGUCGAUACGGGCAGGCUAGAGUUCGGUAGGGUAGACUGGAAUUCCUGGUGUAGCGGUGAAAUGCGCAGAUAUCAGGAGGAACACCGAUGGCGAAGGCAGGUCUCUGGGCCGAUACUGACGCUGAGGAGCGAAAGCGUGGGGAGCGAACAGG
rnacentral:rRNA from 1 species